AGUAAGUGGUUUCCAUGGCCACAGGGAUGAGCACAUGACCCAAUUCAGGCCAAUCAGAGUCCUUCCCUGAAGUUUCACAGACAGAGGCAAUGGAAUGGAGAUGCUCUGGUGUUACCAAGCAGGAAAUGAAAGCCUAGAGUUGUCUGCUCUUUUACUAUUUCCUCAUUCAACCUAGCCAUGAGGAAGAAGCCAAUCUAUAGAAAAGGAAGAGGACAACAGGUAGAACCUGAGCUUGGAGAUGGAAGGAGAUGGUAAAAUGUAGUCAUAUUGUCUAAGUCACUGGACUUCCUGGGGCUAGUUUACUCCUGGACUUCCCUGCUAUUUGAAUUCAUCGUUCCAGUUUGACUUAGCAAAAACUUGGUGAACUCAUUACAAGUAGACCUGUUCUAUGGAAAAAAAUGUUAAAGUUCUUCAGACAGAAUAUAAUACCAGAUUAAAGAAUCUUGGACCUACUUGAAGAAAUGAAGAGCACUGGAAAUGGCAUUAAUGAAGGGACAUAGAUGAAUCUGGAAACCAUCUUUCUCAGCAAACUGACACAAGAACAGAAGACCAAACACCACAUGUUCUUGCUCAUAGGGAAAUCUCAAGCAGUUUCAUCCAGCAAAUAUACAAGCCUUUUGUGCCUUGAACCCCAAUGCGUAAAGACAUUCACAAACAUCCUGGAAUUGGUGCUGGCUUUCAGCCGGCCUUGUCCUUUCACCAGUUUUAAGAGUUAGGUGAUGCGCCACAUUGUUCUGAGGCAAAGGUUAUCUUCCCUGCCUGGGAUUCCAUCCAGAAACAAAUAAAAAACCAAGGAACCUGC
rnacentral:lncRNA from 1 species